rnacentral:rRNA from 1 species
GUGUCAGCAGCCGCGGUAAUACGUAGGUGGCGAGCGUUAUCCGGAAUUACUGGGCGUAAAGCGCACGCAGGCGGCUCUUUAAGUCUGACGUGAAAGCUCCUGGCUUAACUGGGAGAGGACGUUAGAAACUGGAGGGCUUGAGGCAAUGAGAGGGGUGCGGAAUUCCCGGUGUAGUGGUGGAAUGCGUAGAUAUCGGGAGGAACACCAGUGGCGAAAGCGGCACCCUGGCAUUGGCCUGACGCUCAGGUGCGAAAGCGUGGGGAGCGAACGGGAUUAGAUACCCCGGUAGUCCACGCUGUAAACGAUGCGAACUAGGUGUGGGCAGUAUUGACCCUGUCCGUGCCGUAGCUAACGCGCUAAGUUCGCCGCCUGGGGAGUACGGCCGCAAGGCUAAAACUUAAAGGAAUUGACGGGG